rnacentral:rRNA from 1 species
GAGUUUGAUCCUGGCUCAGGACGAACGCUGGCGGCGUGCCUAACACAUGCAAGUCGUGCGAGAACGGUCCUUCGGGACCAAGUACAGCGGCGAACGGGUGAGUAACACGUGAGCGACCUCCCCGGAGGAGGGGGAUAACCCAGGGAAACCUGGGCUAAUACCGCAUGCGGCGUCGGGGGUGAAGUCCCGGCGUGAAAGCUGGCCUCUCGAAGAAGCCAGCACCUCCGGAUGGGCUCGCGGCCUAUCAGCUGGUUGGUGAGGUAACGGCUCACCAAGGCGAUGACGGGUAGCUGGCGUGAGAGCGCGACCAGCCACACUGGGACUGAGACACGGCCCAGACUCCUACGGGAGGCAGCAGUGGGGAAUCUUGCGCAAUGGGCGAAAGCCUGACGCAGCGACGCCGCGUGGGGGAGGAAGGCCCUAGGGUCGUAAACCCCUGUCAGGUGGGACGAACCGUGGGUCGGCGAAUAGCCGGCUCGCCUGACGGUACCACCAGAGGAAGCUCCGGCUAACUCCGUGCCAGCAGCCGCGGUAAUACGGAGG